rnacentral:tRNA from 5 species
GGACAGGUAGCUCAGUUGGUAGAGCAAUGGACUGAAAAUCCAUGUGUCGGCGGUUCGAUUCCGUCCCUGUCCACGA